UAUCCUCCGGAUGAAAGGGGACUUUGGAAAACAAAGAGGAAAGAGAACCAGAUUCCUUCCUCACGGGAAUGACUGCAUUGCUGCCCUGUGUGGCUAAGAGAUUAUAAGCUUCAGGAGGGAAGAGGCUUUGAAUGAACAUAAUGGUCCCUUGGUCAGAGAUACUGAAGGAUAAGGGGCUGAGUGCUUUGUUUUACACUUGCUGACUCUUAAAAGAACCACAAAAGAGGUUGACUGUGGUCCUGCUCCAUAUAUCUUCACUCUGGGAUCCAGGCUGAGCAGCAGGGGCAUUGCUGGGAGUGAGACAAGAGACUUCUCUUGUAGAUCUGUAUGAACCAGACAUUCAUCCUGCAUUGGGGUUGGCCAACUGAUUACUGCUCAUGGGCCGGAUCUGGCCCACUACUUGUUUUUGUAUGGCUUGUGAGAGAAGAAUGGUGUUUAGAUUUGUAAAAGGUUGAAAAAAAUCAAAAGAAGAAUAAUAUUUUGUGAGAUGUGAAACUUACAUGAAAUUGAGA